CCAGCAGCUGCGGUAAUACGAGGGGUCCUAGCGUUGCUCGGAAUCAUUGGGCGUAAAGCGGGUGUAGGCGGACAACCAAGUCAGAUGUGAAAGCCCCAGGCUCAACCUGGGAAGUGCAUUUGAAACUGGUUAUCUUGAGUGCAGUAGAGGAAGGUGGAAUUCCAAGUGUAGUGGUGAAAUACGUAGAUAUUUGGAGGAACAUCGGUGGCGAAGGCGACCUUCUGGACUGUUACUGACGCUGAGACCCGAAAGCGUGGGGAUCAAACAGGAUUAGAUACCCUGGUAGUCCACGCCGUAAACGAUGGACACUUGGUGUUGGAGGUAUUGACCCCUUCAGUGCCGAAGCUAACGCGUUAAGUGUCCCGCCUGGGGAGUACGGUCGCAAGAUUAAAACUCAAAGAAAUUGACGGGGGCCCGCACAAGCGGUGGAGCAUGUGGUUUAAUUCGAUGCAACGCGAAAAACCUUACCUAGGCUCGAAAUGUACAGGAAGACGCCAGAGAUGGUGUCGUCUUCGGACCUGUAUAUAGGUGCUGCAU
rnacentral:rRNA from 1 species